rnacentral:lncRNA from 1 species
UGAAUGUGAGCAGUCAGAAUCAAGUCAUGUUCUCACCCUUCAAUGCGCUUGGCACGUUUUCUUUCCGGACACAUCCAGUGGAUACUGUGCAGACCUUCUCCAGCUAAUCUCAGGAAGGCUGAAGUUUUUAGACGGCUACCCUUCAUAUUUAGGGGUCUUCUGUUGCUCUGAACGCUUCUGUUUAGAGACCUUUCUUCACUGUCCCCAAGGGAUGUUUUCUAAGCCAAGUUCACCUACGAUCUCACACACGCGCUGUUGAGGUGUAAUGUUACAGACAUGGUGAUUUACAACGCAGAUAUAUUACCCCAGAUCCUCCAGGUGUUGGAGAAGGGCCCUCCUGACAACUUGAUUCCGUGUCUUCCUCUGUUGAAUUGGAUUUAUCUUACCUUCUUUCACUAAGCCCCCGGGGCUCUUUAUCUCUCAGCUCAUCUGAAUUUUUUCCCCAGGUAAGGUCUCAUUCUUGCAGGGCCAGGUGGACACAAACUCAGCCAGGGUCAGUAACGGAAAGUAUUCAAACUGCACCCACUCCCCCUCAGUGGCAAGACUCCCGUGC